rnacentral:lncRNA from 1 species
CCCAUUUUAGUCCAAUCACAUUAAGUUUUUGCUGAUCUUUAUCACAUUAAGUUUCUCACUCAUCAAAAUCUGAAUUCAAAAUAAAACACCACCAUCCAUUAUGAACCAAAAGAAUUAUAACACAUAAAGGUGUAUACAACUAGACUAGGAAUUAAAAAACAAUUAAUAAAUGUAAACUCAAUGAGAGAUGCACGAGGGACUGAUAGCGUUGUGUGUUGCUUGCAUUAGAAAAAAAGGAGGCGAUCAGAAAAUACUACACUUAUAUUUUUUUUUUUUUUGUCUUUGAAGGCUCAAGCUCAUAAUUUCCUUGAUUUGUAUUUUAUACAAUGAUGAUAUUACUAUAAUAUCCUCAAUCAAGAGAAAAAAGGCAACCUACCUCAGCAAGUUUAAAGAGCUUAGACAUUGUAUCAAGAGUGGCACAUUGUCGUGAAUAAUCCAGGAAUAUGCCAUCAAACUCGUUGCAUAAACCCCAAAUGAAAAGAAAUCAUCACCCUCUUAGCUCUAAAAGUUAAUAAUCAAUGAAGAAUCACAUAGUUCUUAUCUAUAAAGAACAGAUGGAGUAAUUUACAACUAGAGAUGACAAUUCUUUAAAAUAUUCAAGUAAACUUUUUAAUCUAACAGAUUCCAAAAAGACCCAACAAUCAGAACGUAUGAUCCACAAUCAAUAACAUUAUUCCAAAAUAAUCCCAACAAUCAGAAAGUGCGAUUCCAUUUAAUAGAUUGACAAUCGAUUUUUUCAGAACGAAAACUAAAAGAUGUGAAACUGAGGAGGGAACUAUACCUGUAAACAAGUCAAAUGACUCAUAGGAGGGAACAGUACAUGUAAACCAGUUAAGCAAACAAAAAGUGUGAUGUUAAGCAGUUUAGAAAGGAAGAACGAGAACGAGAAACGAAUUCCACCUUCUAGACGAGAAGCGGACCUACGAACCUGCAGUUGGUUCUUUUCAGCAACAGUAUUUGAUUAAUGGGAAGCUGAUUGGAGUUGGUGUGAUUGAUAUUCUUCUUCCUAAAUGUUAAUCCAGUAAAUAAAUUGGGUGAGAGAGAAACAAGAGCUGCAUGCAGAGUAGAAGUAACAAAUGAUUUUUGAAACAUCGGUGAUUUCGGAAACAAAACACGAGCAAGAGGUCAGAACAUACCUUAUCGAACAGAGAUGCAUAGCGCAACGAGAACUGCAGGCAGAGGUGCUGACCUGUUGCGUCUGGUGCUUUACUUAGUUGUUGACAAUUGCUUUUAAAUGAAGUAUGAACGAGAACGACAGAGAAAUGAUAAUGGAAAAAACAAAC